UUUUAAUAUAUUUAUAACAAAAAUCAUUUUAAAAAUUAAACUUUACCACAAUUUCAAACACGGUAAUCUUAUAAACAUUAUCUUUUGACAUAAACCUGUCUAAUAUGUACACGUACUUAAUCUCAUCCCAUCUCCUCCCAGAACAGAUCAUCUCUAUGUAGAUUCUUCAUCUCUGCUCUGAGAAACAUCCAAAGACACAGACAGGAUUAGAAACAUGGUAAAAGGAGGAGAAAAACAGGUUGGAGUUCCUGUAAUAAUAGCGAUGAAAGGGCAUCCUGGCACAGGCAAGAGUACUUUAGCCAGCUCUUUAGCUUCAUCUCUCAAAAUCCCUCUCAUCGACAAAGAUGAUGUCCGUGACUGCACCGUAUCCAUCCAAAACUCCUCACCCGCUACAGCAUCCAAACUCCUCAACGAUCUCUCUUACGACGUUGUCUGGCAGAUCGCCUCCACUCAGCUACGUUUAGGUCUCAGCGUCAUCAUCGACUCUCCACUCUCUCGGAGGGCCCAUCUCGAUAGACUUGUCCAGGUGGCUUCCUCUACCGGGUCCCUCCUCGUGAUUGUCGAGUGUAAGCCGUUGGAUGAGGGUGUUUGGCGGAGAAGGCUAGAGCAACGUGGCAAGGGUGAUCAGGCUAGCUGGCAUAAGCCUUCAACGUGGCAGGAUCUUGAGAGGCUACUUGAAGGGUACGGUGGGUCCACUGACUAUGAUGUUGGCGAUGUACCGAAGAUAGUCCUGGAUACUUCUGUUGCGGUAGCGGUGGAUGAGCUUGUUUCUAGGGUGGUGGAUUUCGUUGUUUCUUCUGCUUGUACAGGUUAUCACAACUAGAAUUAAUUACCCUUAAUAUUAUAUGUAUAAUAUUCAAACUAUCAUAUGUAUAUAACUUUGUAGAUGAGUCUAGAAUGGUCGAUCUUGCUUCUUAAAUUAUCACCUGUGAGGUCAGAAGAUUACUAGUUGUUGGAUAAACAAUAAAAUGUGAUGAGAACAUGGCAUAUAGCUGCCAAAAAUAUGUUUACAAAAAUAUAGCACGCACCAGUUAGCUUGCCCUUUUCGAGAAUCUAGAACACAGCGUAUGAGGCCCUCCGAGGUUACGAAAGAACAGCCGAGGCAAAAACAAAAUCCAAGCUUAUGUUUGUUUCUCGAGAUACUAUGUGAUGUAUAUAACAAUACUAACUCUAACGGGUGGUCAUAGAUAUAACAAAAAAUACAUUACACUUCGGCGUCAUUAGCGGCGCCUCUCGGGCAAAAAAAAUUUUAUGUCGUGUUGUUCGG
rnacentral:lncRNA from 1 species